UAUUUUCAGCAGCAGAGCAGAGGCGUUUGGAGUUUUGUUUUGGGGUUUUUCCCCAUUUUCAUUUUGGAGCAAGAAAAUAACGCCGCAACUUUUACAAACCAUGAAAUUAUAAGUUGCAUUUUAUUUCAAACUAUUUUCAUUUUACAGCUUACUGAUUUAAACAUUACAAUAUUUGUGUCCACGUUAGAAUUUAUCUACUUCAUAAGUAAAACGAUGAAACAAAAUGAAAGUUUACAAACUCAGCUAUUUUUACUGACUAACUUAACCUACUUUAAAAGCAAAAAUGGUAUACUCCAAAUAAAUGCAAAUGGAACUGUAUGGCAAAUAAAUGCAAAUGCAACUAAAGUGGAGUUAGGUGUAUGCUUUUUGCAUAAAAUAAGCUGCUCAUCUUGAUUGGCGGUGUGUUAACAGGUGCAGAGCAAUAUCAGGACAAGGCCGAACAUGUAUUCCUCGAAUCUUUGGAGUUGAGUUGGGUUGAGCUGGAU